AUGAACGCUGGCGGCGUGCCUCAUCCAUGCCAGUCGAGCGAACGGACGAGAAGCUUGCUUCUCUGAUGUUAGCGGCGGACGGGUGAGUAACACGUGGAUAACCUACCUAUAAGACUUGGAUAACUUCGGGAAACCGGAGCUAAUACCGGAUAAUAUUUUGAACCGCAUGGUUCAAAAGUGAAAGACGGUCUUGCUGUCACUUAUAGAUGGAUCCGCGCUGCAUUAGCUAGUUGGUAAGGUAACGGCUUACCAAGGCAACGAUGCAUAGCCGACCUGAGAGGGUGAUCGGCCACACUGGAACUGAGACACGGUCCAGACUCCUACGGGAGGCAGCAGUAGGGAAUCUUCCGCAAUGGGCGAAAGCCUGACGGAGCAACGCCGCGUGAGUGAUGAAGGUCUUCGGAUCGUAAAACUCUGUUAUUAGGGAAGAACAUAUGUGUAAGUAACUGUGCACAUCUUGACGGUACCUAAUCAGAAAGCCACGGCUAACUACGUG
rnacentral:rRNA from 1 species